AACGAACGCUGGCGGCGCGCCUAAUACAUGCAAGUCGAGCGAGAAGGUGUAGCAAUACACUUGUAAAGCGGCGAACGGGUGAGGAAUACAUGGGUAAUCUACCAUCGAGUGGGGAAUAACCAACCGAAAGGUUGGCUAAUACCGCGUACGCCUCCGAGUCUUCGGGUUCGGAGGGAAAGCUGCACUGUGAGUGUAGCGCUCUUUGAUGAGCUCAUGUCCUAUCAGCUUGUUGGUAGGGUAACGGCCUACCAAGGCUUUGAUCGGUAGCUGGUCUGAGAGGACGAUCAGCCACACUGGCACUGACACACGGGCCAGACUCCUACGGGAGGCAGCAGUGAGGAAUAUUGGGCAAUGGGCGAAAGCCUGACCCAGCAACGCCGCGUGAGGGAUGAAGGCCUUCGGGUUGUAAACCUCUUUCUGGGAGAAGAGACAAGGACGGUAUCCCAGGAAUAAGUCUCGGCUAACUACGUGCCAGCAGCCGCGGUAAU
rnacentral:rRNA from 1 species